rnacentral:tRNA from 1 species
GGCCGACUAGCUCAGUUGGUUAGAGCGUGGUGCUAAUAUCUCAAUGUUACGCCAAGGUCGUCGGUUCGACCCCGGCGUUGGCCA